UGAGGAAUAUUGGUCAAUGGACGCAAGUCUGAACCAGCCAAGUAGCGUGCAGGAUGACGGCCCUAUGGGUUGUAAACUGCUUUUAUAUGGGGAUAAAGUGGGGAACGUGUUCCCUUUUGCAGGUACCAUAUGAAUAAGGACCGGCUAAUUCCGUGCCAGCAGCCGCGGUAAUACGGAAGGUUCGGGGGUUAUCCGGAUUUAUUGGGUUUAAAGGGAGCGUAGGCCGUUUGGUAAGCGUGUUGUGAAAUGUAGGAGCUCAACUUCUAGAUUGCAGCGCGAACUGUCAGACUUGAGUGCGCACAACGUAGGCGGAAUUCAUGGUGUAGCGGUGAAAUGCUUAGAUAUCAUGAAGAACUCCGAUUGCGAAGGCAGCUUACGGGAGCGCAACUGACGCUGAAGCUCGAAGGUGCGGGUAUCGAACAGG
rnacentral:rRNA from 1 species